UACGUAGGGGGCUAGCGUUGUCCGGAUUUAUUGGGCGUAAAGAGCGUGUAGGCGGCCAUGUAGGUCCGGUGUGAAAACUCGAGGCUUAACCUCGAGAUGUCAUCGGAAACCAUUUGGCUAGAGUCCGGAAGAGGCGAGUGGAAUUCUCGGUGUAGCGGUGAAAUGCGUAGAUAUCGAGAGGAACACCUGCGGCGAAGGCGGGUUGCUGGGCUGACACUGACGCUGAGGCGCGAAAGCCAGGGGAGCGAACGGG
rnacentral:rRNA from 1 species